GACGAACGCUGGCGGCGGGCUUAACACAUGCAAGUCGAACGGAAAGGCCCUGCUUUUGUGUGGUUCUCGAGGGGCGAACGGGUGAGUAACACGUGAGUAACCUGCGCUGGACGGUGGGAUAACUGCAGGAAACUGGUGCUAAUACCUGAUAGGAGCUCCUGCUGCAUGGGGGGGUUUGGAAAUUUUCGGCUGAUGGGGAUGGACUCGCGGCUUAUUAGCUGGUUGGUUGGGUACUGGCUUACCAAGGCUUUGGAGGGUAGCCGGCCUGAGAGGGUGACCGGCCACAUUGGGACUGAGAUACGGCGCAGACUCCUACGGGAGGCAGCAGUGGGGAAUAUUGCACAAUGGGCGCAAGCCUGAUGCAGCAACCCCGCGUGCGUGAUGCCGGCCUUCGGGUUGUAAACCGCUGUCGGCUGUGACGAAGCGUGAGUGACGUUAAUAGGUAAAGAAGCACCGGCUAACUACGUG
rnacentral:rRNA from 1 species